CUGAGAGAUAUGGAUUAUAUGUGAAUUCUCUGAUAAUGUUUGAAUACUCCCUUGGAAAGGGAGUAUUCAAACAUUAUCAGAGAAUUCACAUAUAAUCCAUAUCUCUCAGG
rnacentral:pre_miRNA from 1 species